GACCACGAUCCAACCCUAAAUACUAAUACCAGAUCGAUAGUGCACAAGUACCGUGAGGGAAAGGUGAAAAGAACUGAGGUGAUCAGAGUGAAAUAGAACCUGAAACCAUUUGCUUACAAUCAUUCAGAGCACUAUGUAGCAAUACAGUGUGAUGGACUGCCUUUUGCAUAAUGAGCCUGCGAGUUGUGGUGUCUGGCAAGGUUAAGCAAACGCGAAGCCGUAGCGAAAGCGAGUCUGAAUAGGGCGCUUAGUCAGAUGCUGCAGACCCGAAACGAAGUGAUCUAUCCAUGAGCAAGUUGAAGCUAGUGUAAGAACUAGUGGAGGACUGAACCCAUAGGCGUUGAAAAGCCCCGGGAUGACUUGUGGAUAGGGGUGAAAGGCCAAUCAAACUUCGUGAUAGCUGGUUCUCUCCGAAAUAUAUUUAGGUAUAGCGUUGUGUCGUAAUAUAAGGGGGUAGAGCACUGAAUGGGCUAGGGCAUACACCAAUGUACCAAACCCUAUCAAACUCCGAAUACCUUAUAUGUAAUCACAGCAGUCAGGCGGCGAGUGAUAAAAUCCGUCGUCAAGAGGGAAACAACCCAGACUACCAGCUAAGGUCCCUAAAUCUUACUUAAGUGGAAAACGAUGUGAAGUUACUUAAACAACCAGGAGGUUGGCUUAGAAGCAGCCAUCCUUUAAAGAAAGCGUAAUAGCUCACUGGUCUAGUGAUUUUGCGCGGAAAAUAUAACGGGGCUAAAGUAAGUACCGAAGCUGUAGACUUGCACACAA
rnacentral:rRNA from 1 species